CCAAGCUAGCGCAGCGCGCUGGAUUAUAUUGUUACACUCGUGCGGCCAUUCCAGCCGCCUGUAACAUUUUCCGAUGCGCUAAUAUUUUCCAUGAUAUUUUCCCAGCGCGGCUGCAGGCGCUCCGCUGUCAUCGCUACUUUGAACUUUUUUUUGUUUUGUUUUUUUUGUUAACCUUUUCAGAAGUACGAAGGCGCACUCAAACGAGGACUCAGGUGCGCCUCGGCGAGGUCACGGCGACCUGUUUGGCUGGAAAAAGGGGCGCACGUUGGCGCCGGAGGAAGGACGCGUUCCGCGGUUUUGCGGGAACGGGUCGAUCCGAAGGCUCCGUGGGACUUUCAAGGCCAGAAGCUGAGCCGCUCCGUGUGUUGUGUGGCUUGCUGGCGUGUGUAUUGCCGCGCGCGUUUGCUGCGCGCGUCUACCAAGGCCGUCAACGUGCGCGUCUGUGUCGGACGAAAAAAAGUUGUCCGCGCGAGACGCCGUGCAGGUACUCCAACUCCUCGUUGGCAACCCAGAGAGGGCACCCCGCCCCCUUCCGACUGAAGACCGGAGGCUCAGAUUCGGAGGUGCCGGUUUUGACCCGAGCCUCCGCGGUGAGAGUUGAAGACGGCAACUCAGUGAAGCUGACAAAACCGCACCGUCGGCAAUAAACGCAGCUUCGGCCACCUGCGUCCGCAUAAGUGACGAAGUUCAGCCUCGACCGAGUCCGACGUUGACCGGGUCCCGUUUCCUGCCGGGCCGAGGCGGACCAAACUCACGCGGGGACUCAACAGUUGAUGUCAGCGGUUAGGGUUAGGGUUAGGGUUAGGGUUGGGGGUUCCUGAGGAAAUCCCCAAGGGACCCGUCGGAGGUAUCUUUCCGUAGACGGACCGGACGGAAGCCCUCGCCGCCAUCCAGAACCAGAAACCCGCUGAACGCGUUGAGAUGAAACAAAGAACUGCGAAUUCAUCCGGCUGACCUCCGUCUGACUUUGUGAGCACGUUGAUGGUCUUCAGCUGUCUGGGCUGACUUUGCAGCUCAAUUAAAACAAAAACAAAAAACGCGAACUCUGACCCCGCGUGUGUGCGUGUGCGGAAUUAGCGCGUCCGGCAGGAGCCUUCAGAUGGCCGGCCGGAAACGCUCCAAACUGGUCUGGACUUUGUGUGUCUACUUCUUGUAAAUGUUUAUUUGACAGACGCAGGUCACGCGAUGAACGCGAGUGCGAAUCGCCAGCGUUUAGAUUCGCCGGGCCGCCGCUGUCGUCGCGGCCAAUGUCGUGAUCCCUCGCGGCCCGUCCAUUGAAAAAAGUCGAGCGGCGGCUCAAGUGCGUUCCGACGCUCCGGAUGGUCGAUCGAAAUAAAAAAAGAAAUGGCCCAGUGUGACCGGGUCAGCGCUAAGCUUUUAUUGGUCCGCGCGUUCUUCUGUUUUCCGCCGUCGUCGUACUCGAGCAGCUCCGACUCCCCGCGACAAAUUGCUGGCGUCUUUUUGACACGCACGGCAAAUCGGAGAUGAUCGGGAUUUCCGCAAACAUGACAAUGCCGUGAUUGACUCCUCCUCAUCCUCAAAUGGGGUCAAUUUGGGCUUUGAUCAAAAGUAGAGAUUGAACCUUUUCAAAAUGUGGCGUGUUGAGGGCCUACUUGGAGAUGUUGGUCGCCUUUGAGACGACGGCAGAAGAAGAGCCGAUCACGAGCGUCGGCUUUACGAGGAGGAGGUCGGAUGGAAAAAAAAAAAUGUUGUUUAAUCAAAUCAUCGUGAAAAUUGUAUUCAGGGAAUGUUUUUAAAAGCAGCUGUAACUGAGGGACGCAAUUUUUUUUCCCAGGAUUAAACACCAUUUGACCAAUUUGAUUUUCACCUGAAACGACCUCAUCCAAUUUGACAUUUUAGAAAUUCGACAAACUCCAAAGGGUUCGCUUUUGUUGUUGUUGCUAAAUCACGACACAUUCUGCUUU